rnacentral:ncRNA from 3 species
GUAAAAAAUUUAUAAGAAUAUGAUGUUGGUUCAGAUUAAGCGCUAAAUAAGGACAUGACACAUGCGAAUCAUACGUUUAUUAUUGAUAAGAUAAUAAAUAUGUGGUGUAAACGUGAGUAAUUUUAUUAGGAAUUAAUGAACUAUAGAAUAAGCUAAAUACUUAAUAUAUUAUUAUAUAAAAAUAAUUUAUAUAAUAAAAAGGAUAUAUAUAUAAUAUAUAUUUAUCUAUAGUCAAGCCAAUAAUGGUUUAGGUAGUAGGUUUAUUAAGAGUUAAACCUAGCCAACGAUCCAUAAUCGAUAAUGAAAGUUAGAACGAUCACGUUGACUCUGAAAUAUAGUCAAUAUCUAUAAGAUACAGCAGUGAGGAAUAUUGGACAAUGAUCGAAAGAUUGAUCCAGUUACUUAUUAGGAUGAUAUAUAAAAAUAUUUUAUUUUAUUUAUAAAUAUUAAAUAUUUAUAAUAAUAAUAAUAAUAAUAUAUAUAUAUAAAUUGAUUAAAAAUAAAAUCCAUAAAUAAUUAAAAUAAUGAUAUUAAUUACCAUAUAUAUUUUUUAUAUGGAUAUAUAUAUUAAUAAUAAUAUUAAUUUUAUUAUUAUUAAUAAUAUAUUUUAAUAGUCCUGACUAAUAUUUGUGCCAGCAGUCGCGGUAACACAAAGAGGGCGAGCGUUAAUCAUAAUGGUUUAAAGGAUCCGUAGAAUGAAUUAUAUAUUAUAAUUUAGAGUUAAUAAAAUAUAAUUAAAGAAUUAUAAUAGUAAAGAUGAAAUAAUAAUAAUAAUUAUAAGACUAAUAUAUGUGAAAAUAUUAAUUAAAUAUUAACUGACAUUGAGGGAUUAAAACUAGAGUAGCGAAACGGAUUCGAUACCCGUGUAGUUCUAGUAGUAAACUAUGAAUACAAUUAUUUAUAAUAUAUAUUAUAUAUAAAUAAUAAAUGAAAAUGAAAGUAUUCCACCUGAAGAGUACGUUAGCAAUAAUGAAACUCAAAACAAUAGACGGUUACAGACUUAAGCAGUGGAGCAUGUUAUUUAAUUCGAUAAUCCACGACUAACCUUACCAUAUUUUGAAUAUUAUAAUAAUUAUUAUAAUUAUUAUAUUACAGGCGUUACAUUGUUGUCUUUAGUUCGUGCUGCAAAGUUUUAGAUUAAGUUCAUAAACGAACAAAACUCCAUAUAUAUAAUUUUAAUUAUAUAUAAUUUUAUAUUAUUUAUUAAUAUAAAGAAAGGAAUUAAGACAAAUCAUAAUGAUCCUUAUAAUAUGGGUAAUAGACGUGCUAUAAUAAAAUGAUAAUAAAAUUAUAUAAAAUAUAUUUAAUUAUAUUUAAUUAAUAAUAUAAAACAUUUUAAUUUUUAAUAUAUUUUUUUAUUAUAUAUUAAUAUGAAUUAUAAUCUGAAAUUCGAUUAUAUGAAAAAAGAAUUGCUAGUAAUACGUAAAUUAGUAUGUUACGGUGAAUAUUCUAACUGUUUCGCACUAAUCACUCAUCACGCGUUGAAACAUAUUAUUAUCUUAUUAUUUAUAUAAUAUUUUUUAAUAAAUAUUAAUAAUUAUUAAUUUAUAUUUAUUUAUAUCAGAAAUAAUAUGAAUUAAUGCGAAGUUGAAAUACAGUUACCGUAGGGGAACCUGCGGUGGGCUUAUAAAUAUCUUAAAUAUUCUUACA